rnacentral:rRNA from 1 species
UACGGGGGGGGCAAGCGUUGUUCGGAAUUACUGGGCGUAAAGGGCGCGUAGGCGGCCUGCUAAGUCACACGUGAAAUCCCUCGGCUCAACCGGGGAACUGCGUGUGAUACUGGCGGGCUUGAAUUCGGGAGAGGGAUGUGGAAUUCCAGGUGUAGCGGUGAAAUGCGUAGAUAUCUGGAGGAACACCGGUGGCGAAGGCGGCAUCCUGGACCGAGAUUGACGCUGAGGCGCGAAAGCGUGGGGAGCAAACAGGG